UCAAUAGCCUAACGGCUGAACCAGCAACUUGGAGGAAUGUAUAGCAAUAGCUACUUGCAUCAUUGAAAAUAUGAUGCAAGAUCGACUAUGUCGAAUAAAAUUCUAGGUAGAAUUAUGAUAAUGACAUUGUCUGCCUAUGUGUCUUGACCAAAUUACGUGCCAGCAGUCGCGGUAAUACGUAGAAGACUAGUGUUAUUCAUGUUUAAUCGGUUUAAAGGGUACCUAGACGGUAAAUCAAGCCUAAAAGGAAGGAAAUAAAGGGACUAAUUUACUAGAGUUACUUAUGAGGGGGUAUUAAAGUACUGCUGGUGUAGAGAUGAAAUUCUGUCAUACCUCUUUUCAAUAGAAAAAUAAUGGCACAGGUAUAGGCGAAAGCAUCCCCUUAUGUGAUAACUGACGUUGAGGGACGAAGGCUUUGUGUAGCGAACAGGAUUAGAUACCCCAGUAGUCAAAGCAGAAAAUGAUGAAUGUCAUAGAUUAGAUAUAUAAGUUUAUUCUAUAAAUGAAAGUGUAAGCAUUCCACCUCAAGAGUAAUUUGGCAACAUUGGAACUGAAAUCAUUAGACCGUUUCUGAAACCAGUAGUGAAGUAUGUUGUUUAAUUUGAUAAUCCGCAAAAAACCUUACCACAAUUUGAAUAUUUAUAUUUUUUUUAUUGUUUUUCUUUUUAAUUUUCUUCCGAUUUUCUAGUUAAAGGAAAAUUAGAAGAAAAAGAAAAAAGAGGCAAUAAGAUAUAUUUACAAGCGUUGCACGGCUGUCUUCAGUUAAUGUCGCGAGACUAUGGUUAGUUCCAUUAAAUUAACGUAAACCCUUACUUUAUUUUUAUAUAGAGUUGUUCCCCGCUAUAUUGGAUAUGAUAACAGGGACUAAGACAAGUCAUCAUGGCCUAAAUAUUGU
rnacentral:rRNA from 1 species